AUACAGAGGGUGCGAGCGUUAAUCGGAAUUACUGGGCGUAAAGCGCGCGUAGGCGGUCUAUUAAGUCAGAUGUGAAAUCCCAGGGCUCAACCUUGGAACUGCAUCUGAUACUGGCAGACUAGAGUUUCGGAGAGGGAAGUAGAAUUUCAGGUGUAGCGGUGAAAUGCAUAGAGAUCUGAAGGAAUACCAGUGGCGAAGGCGACUUCCUGGCCAAAAACUGACGCUGAGGUGCGAAAGCGUGGGUAGCAAACAGGAUUAGAAACCCGAGUAGUCC
rnacentral:rRNA from 1 species